rnacentral:rRNA from 1 species
GAAACGACUGCUAAUACCGCAUAAGCCCACGGCUCGGCAUCGAGCAGAGGGAAAAGGAGCAAUCCGCUUUGAGAUGGCCUCGCGUCCGAUUAGCUAGUUGGUGAGGUAACGGCCCACCAAGGCGACGAUCGGUAGCCGGACUGAGAGGUUGAACGGCCACAUUGGGACUGAGACACGGCCCAGACUCCUACGGGAGGCAGCAGUGGGGAAUAUUGCACAAUGGGGGAAACCCUGAUGCAGCGACGCCGCGUGGAGGAAGAAGGUCUUCGGAUUGUAAACUCCUGUUGUUGAGGAAGAUAAUGACGGUACUCAACAAGGAAGUGACGGCUAACUACGUGCCAGCAGCCGCGGUAAAACGUAGGUCACAAGCGUUGUCCGGAAUUACUGGGUGUAAAGGGAGCGCAGGCGGGAGAACAAGUUGGAAGUGAAAUCCAUGGGCUCAACCCAUGAACUGCUUUCAAAACUGUUUUUCUUGAGUAGUGCAGAGGUAGGCGGAAUUCCCGGUGUAGCGGUGGAAUGCGUAGAUAUCGGGAGGAACACCAGUGGCGAAGGCGGCCCACUGGGCACCAACUGACGCUGAGGCUCGAAAGUGUGGGUAGCAAACAGGAUUAGAUACCCUGGUAGUCCACACCGUAAACGAUGAUUACGAGGUGUUGGAGGAUUGACCCCUUCAGUG